rnacentral:lncRNA from 1 species
GGGUGAUUGUUGUGCUUCUUAUUAUCAAGUCUCCGUGGUUUUGUCGAAUUAUAUCAUGUUUGCUAUCAUCGAUGUGGUUUUGAUGUGGUUUUGUCGGAUUGAAGAACGCCAAUUCUGAAUAUGAUUCUUUAUGUGAUGAUGGCGAUUUUUGAAUCUUUUGAUCAAAUUCCUUUAUCCUUUUCAGCUGGUGACGGGGUCUCUGAGAUUUUUCUUCUACUUUCCUUUCUAUUAUUUGAUUUAUCUGGUAUUGAUCACGAAAAUAAGAAUUGGACUAUGAUUUGUUUAUCUGCAGUGGUGUAACACGUCUCUAUACUUCUUCCUUUUAUUAAGAGCUUAGUUCGUUUUCUUGAAUUUUUGGGUUGUACAGGGAAGACACACAAUGGAUGUGAAAUGAAGAUUAUGUUUUGUUACCCUUAACUUUUUUAUGGGUUUAUUCGUGACUGAUCAUUUGAUUUCGUAGUCUAACUUUGUGUUUAUGUUCACUCCCCUUCAGCAAUUGGAGUUUCUGAGAUUUGAAACCCUAAAAAGUUUAAAACGGUUGCAGCUCAGGAUAUCCCAAUUCUCUCUAUCUAUUGUUUAAUUUCUCUCUACUUGAUCUCCAAGGAUUGAAUUGUGUUCGACGUUUGAAUUAUUUUCCCUUAAUGUCCUGCAACAUCUCAUGGAGUAUGUUAUGAGGCCCCAAGGAUUGAAUUGGUGUUUGAAUUAUUUUCGCUUAAUGUCCUGCAGAGUAUGUUAUGAGACAUAAGGGUUGAAUUGUGAUUUGUUUCCUGUUUGGAUGAUUUGCACAGUGUCCUGCAUCUUAUAGAAUAUGAAUGACUUGGUUUUCGCACGGUUCUCGCGAGUAUGUUAUGGCCACCAUUCUUCCUUGGUUUUUUAAGUCUUCAAUUUAUCUUAUCAUUCUAUACUUCGUCCUCGAUUACCAGUUAUACUUUCUUCAAUUAUUGUUCUUUACAGGGGUGUGGGGGUAGGACAGGGAUCAAGUUCCUAUAACUAGUAAAUUCAUUUACGUGAAUUUUGAGUAUAAUUCUCUAUUUGAGUAUGAUGAGUUUUAUACCUUAUUGCUUAAAUUUCUUUUCAGCUGGUGGCUGGUUUUUUGGCAUUUCUUUUGCCUAUAGAUGAUAUGGAAAGCACACCGACCAAGGGCUCGACAUAACCUUAAGUCUUUUUUGAGUUUCCCUUAUAUUUUUUUUUAUGGUAUUACAAAAGGAUUGAACUAUGAUUUGUUUAUCUGCAGUGGUGUUUGGAUUAGUUGGGUAAUGUCACAUAUUCAACUUAUAAAGUUUCUGUAAUUAGUAAAUUCAUUUAGGUGAAUUCUGAGUACAAUUUUCUAUUUGAAGAUGACGAAUUUUAAACCUUUUGCAUAAAUUUCUUUGCACCUUUUCAGUUGGUGGCUGGUUCUCUGGCAUUUCUUUUGCCUAUGGAUGAUAUGAAAAGCACAAUAACCAAGGGGCUCGUCAUAACCUAAGUCUUUUUUGAGUUUUCCUUCUUUUUUUCUUUUUUCCUGGUAUUGUUCACAGUACAUAAGGAUUAAACUAUGGUUUGUUUAUUUGCAGUGGUGUUUGGAUUAGAUGGGUAACAACGCAUAUUCAUCGUAUCAAGUUUCUAUAACUAGUAAAUUCAUUUACGUCAAUUUUGACUAUAAUUUUCUAUUUGAGUAUGACGAGGAAAAUUACUUCAAUUUCUUUUCAUUUGACCAAGGGCUCAACAUAACCUUAAAUCUUUUUUGAGUUUCCCUUAUAUUUUUUUUAUGGUAUUACAUAAGGAUUGAACUAUGAUUUGUUUAUCUGCAGUGGUGUUUAGAUUAGUUGGGUAACGUGCAGAUUCAUUUUAUCAAGUUUCUAUAACUAGUAAAUUCAUUUACGUGAAUUUUGAGUAUAAUUAUCUAUUUGAGUAUGAUGAGUUUUAAACCUGUUGCGUAAAUUUCUUUUCAGCUGGUAGCUGGUUUUUUGGCAUUUCUGUUGCUUAUGGAUGAUAUGAAAAGCACAACAACCAAGGGCUAGACAUAACCUUAAGUCUUUUUUGAGUUUCCCUUCUAUUAUUUUUUUAUGGUUCUACAUAAGGAUUGAACUAUGAUUUGUUUAUCUGCAGUGGUGUUUUGGAUUAGUUGGGUAAAUUUCUUUGCUCCUUUUCAGCUGGAGUUCUCUGGCAUUUCUUUCUCCUAUGGAUGAUAUGAAAAGCAGAAGGACCAAGGGCCUCGACAUAACCUAUUUUUCUGCUACGGACUAUGAUUUGUUUAUCUGCAGUGGUGUAACACGUUUCUAUACUUCUUCCUUUUAUUAAGAGCUUAGUUCGUUUUCUUGAUUUUUUUGCUGUAUAGGUAGUUCGUUUUCUUGAAUUUUUGGGCUAUACAGGGAAGGCACGGAAUGGAUGUGAAAUGAAGUAUUAUGUUUUGUUACCUUUAAGUCUUUUUUGAGUUUCCCUUCUAUUAUUUUUUUAUGGUUUUACAUAAGGAUUGAACUAUGAUUUGUUUAUCUGCAGUGGUGUUUUGGAUUAGUUGGGUAACGUUGCAUAUUCUUCUUAUCAAGUUUCUAUAAUUAGUAAAUUCAUUUAGGUCUAUAUGAGGAUGACGAGUUUUGAACCUUCUGCGUAAAUUUCUUUGCACCUUUUCAGCUGGAGUUCUCUGGCAUUUAUUUCUCCUAUGGAUGAUAUGAAAAGCAGAAGGAUCAAGGGGCUCGACAUAAC